rnacentral:rRNA from 1 species
CCUACGGGCGGCAGCAGUGAGGAAUAUUGGUCAAUGGGCGAGAGCCUGAACCAGCCAAGUCGCGUGAAGGAUGACGGCCCUACGGGUUGUAAACUUCUUUUGUCAGGGAGCAAUUGGGUCCACGCGUGGGCUUUGCGAGAGUACCUGAAGAAAAAGCAUCGGCUAACUCCGUGCCAGCAGCCGCGGUAAUACGGAGGAUGCGAGCGUUAUCCGGAUUGAUUGGGUUAAAGGGGGGCGUAGGGGGAAUAUCAAGUCAGCGGUAAAAAUUCGGGGCCAAACCCCGUCGUGCCGUUGAAACUGAUGGUCUUGAGUGGGCGAGAAGUAUGCGGAAUGCGUGGUGUAGCGGUGAAAUGCAUAGAUAUCACGAAGAACUCCGAUUGCGAAGGCAGCAUACUGGCCCCCAACUGACGCUGAGGCACGAAAGCGUGGGUAUCGAACAGGAUUAGAUACCCGUGUAGUC